rnacentral:rRNA from 1 species
ACAAGCGGUGGAGCAUGUGGUUUAAUUCGAUGCAACGCGAAGAACCUUACCUGGGCUUGACAUCCACGGAACCUGCUGGAAACAGUGGGGUGCCUUCGGGAGCCGUGAGACAGGUGCUGCAUGGCUGUCGUCAGCUCGUGUCGUGAGAUGUUGGGUUAAGUCCCGCAACGAGCGCAACCCUUGUCAUUAGUUGCUACAUUCAGUUGGGCACUCUAAUGAGACUGCCGGUGACAAGCCGGAGGAAGGUGGGGAUGACGUCAAGUCCUCAUGGCCCUUAUAGGUGGGGCUACACACGUCAUACAAUGGCUGGUACAAAGGGUUGCCAACCCGCGAGGGGGAGCCAAUCCCAUAAAGCCAGUCGUAGUCCGGAUCGUAGUCUGCAACUCGACUACGUGAAGUCGGAAUCGCUAGUAAUCGUGGAUCAGAAUGUCACGGUGAAUACGUUCCCGGGUCUU